rnacentral:misc_RNA from 1 species
GAUGAAGAACGUAGCGAAAUGCGAUAAGUAAUGUGAAUUGCAGAAUUCAGUGAAUCAUCGAAUCUUUGAACGCACAUUGCGCCCGCCAGUAUUCUGGCGGGCAUGCCUGUCUGAGCGUCAUUUCAACCCACAAGCAACUUCUGCUUGGUGUUGGGGAUCGGCCGUCAAACGCCGCCCCCGAAAUCUAUUGGCGAUCUCGCUGUAGCUUCCUAUGCGUAGUAGUAACAUCUCGCAUCUGGAGAGCGGCGCGGUCAUGCCGUAAAACACCCAACUUCUCAGGUUGACCUCAGAUCAGGUAGGAAUACCCGCUGAACUUAAGCAUAUCAAUAAGCGGAGGA